ensembl:lncRNA
AAUGGUCUGAGUUUAAAAGUCUUUAGAGUGCCAAAAAGCCUUUACUUUUUUUGUUUGCAUGAUAAUUUGUAUCCAGUAGAUAACCACGCGGAGGCGCUAUGAACUCCAAUAAAAUAAAUAAUUUGCAAACGGAUACAGAGAGACAUGGGGGAAAAACCCAUUAAGGUGAUUAUAACAUGAAAAGGAUGAGACAUAUGCCGAAGCCCCAACUCAAGUAGGCCUACUGACUCUUGCAUUCGUUAUGGUUGUAACACAUUUCCCAGUGCUUUGGUGAUUGACAAUUUAAAACGAGAUGAAAUUAUCUCAAAAUGCUCCUUUCAUGCAGCCAAAACAGCUCUGAUGCAUUGAUGCAUGGACUCCACACGAGCUCUGAACAUGUCCUGUGGUCUCUGGCACCAAGACAUUAGCAGAAUAUAAAGUUAUAAGUGUGGCAGGUGCAUUAUCCACUGCCAUCAGGGAACAAACACCAUUGCCAUGAAGAGAUCUAUGUGUCAAAGUAACAUCCACAUGGAUGCAAGGUUUCCCAGCAGAACACUGCACACACAUCCGCUGGCCUGCCUUCUUCCCAUAGUGCAUCCUCCUGCU